AAAGAGAGAGAGAGAAGAGAGAAGAGAGAAGAGAAGAGAGAGACACAAACAGAGAGAGAGAGAGAGAGAGAGACUGCAAGCCAGACAUGGUAGACAUGCCUGCAAUUUCACUUACUCAGAAGGAAGAUUAUGCCAGGUGGAAUCACAGGUUGUCUCACACACAUAGUUCCCAUGAAUGAAGAUCCACAUAGUUUCUGAGUGAUCAUGCAGACAGGGUACCUCUGUUCAGCAGGGCUCUCACCUUCAGAAAUCUUCUAAGUCUCUGGCUACAUGCUUGCCUGCCUGUGGAUCAGCUACUAGUUUGUCACUCCCGUCAGCUGUGGCCUGCAUGAUAGGGUUUGUACUGGGCAGCUAUUGCUGUGUAAGGAAAACUCCCAUAUGGUCUUA